CCUGAAGCAAACGCCCCAGUGGUACCGGCGCAGGGCAGUAUUUAUAGGCACUAUAGUGGGGUUCCUGAAGCAAACGCCCCAGUGGUACCAGCACAGCGCAGCACUACAUUAUAUUUUAGUUACUUUACAACACUUCUAUGUUUUUAGUUUUACUGUUCCUUUAAAGGAAGAGAUGUAGGCAGCUGUCUGCCUUCUCUAUGUGAGACUGAACAUGAAAGUGGCCAGUUACAGGGUGUGGGCUUUAGGCCCCCGGUUGGGCACUUUGGCAGACAGUCAUGCAGUCCUGUUUGGUACCCGGCAGUCUGUACAGACAUGAGAUUGUGUGAGUGAAGCGGAGGCAGGUAUGGGUGUGAGAGGGGCCACAGAGUAGCCCUGUGACCAAUCCCAUCAGCUUGUCUGAGUGGCCAUGCUAAUGUGCGGCCAAGGAUCUGUGGCUGUGUAUGGAUGUAAAUCUGCUGGUGGGCCAAUAGCAAAGCAGCAUUACACUGGCCAUGGCCCUUCCUUACUGGGCAGUUAUAUGGUGAGCAGGGCAAUGGCCAACCCUUGCUCCAUUGGGUAACACCGGCUCAGCCAAUCAGCUUCUCCCCAUCUGAGCAUCAGUGUCCCAGGCUGGGUACCGGGAGGCCUCUCUCAUUACAUUCAUUUCUACCGACCCACAUCCCCACACAUACAGAUAAAUAUGGCUGCCCCCAUACAGUGUGGGGGAGGGGAUAUUGGAUGUGCGCUGAUGUAAUAGCGCCUCACUCGGGAGCCAUGUUCCCCUGUCGGUAGGUUUGCUAGAACAUUCUAUAGAAAGAGUGGCAUGGUGAUGCCUGUUUUAUUCAGCCCUCUGUGUCAGUGGGCGGAGUCAUCUCAGCAGUGUCCCAAAGCAUUAGCGAUAGUAGGCGGUGUAGUUAGUAUGUGCCUACGUACAUAGACUCUCCCUAUGCUGCUCACUCUGAUCCCAUUAUCUUUCUACCUUCCGCUACUACUCGACUGCCAUAGUCUCAGCCCCUAAUGGGGCAGCUGGGCAAUACUGUGCCCUUUGGCAGGCUUACAGCGGGCACGCUAGACAGGUGCCAGCCCGGGCCCUGCAGUAUCUGGGCUAAAUCCAUUCAUGGUUCUGAUGGCUCAGUGGUUUCUAACUUGCAACCUUCCUCUUUUUAUCUAGAAAGUGUAACAGAGAUGGUUUGGAAAGUACUGCUCCAACUGUGCAUAACCUUCUGUUGCUGGAGUGGGGGCAGUUAUGUGUAUUUUGUGCUUUAUAGGCAGGCCACGGAAGCUGCACCUUGGUUAAUUCAAUUUAUGUUUCUGUUAACUAGCAAACAGCAUGUCAGCUACUUACUGGCACAGGCGCCAGUCCCCAGAAGUGCCAGUGCAGGUUAGUUGGUACCUGUAAGUACUCCUCUUCCUUCUUCUUCUACUUUCAUGAUAACUAACGUACUACUGUGGGGUAAUGCUGAUACGCGCCAGUCUGCUCCCUAUGGCUUUGUCACCCCACCCCCCAAAGAGAGCGCCCCUUCUCUCAGCUGGGGGGCAGCAUAGGCUGUGUGGGACAGGAGUGCCCUUAUGCAUGUCUGUCUCUCUCUGCACUCCUUAUAGCUGCCUCCUUCCUUGCACUCUUUCUGAGCUCUCAGCCCCGACCCAUCACAGCUCCUCCCCUCACGGUGUGUGUGUGUAUCCCCCGCCCACAUUGCCACAUAGUGACAUGGCUAAUGGAUACCCUUGGAUUUGCUUGUCACAUGAUGGCCCAAUGAGCAAUUCAUAGGCCAAUAUCUGUUGGAUACAAACCCAGAUAUAAUUGCAGAACCCCGUAGGCAAGCCAUUCAGUCUGUCCAUUUGUAUCAAUGGCUAAAUGGCUUUGCCCUAAUAAUGGGGGCAGGCAUGUUGUUACCUGCCCCCCACCCACAGCCAUGCCCCAUUCAUAUGGGGGCAUUAUUGUCCCUGGCCUGCUAGUAGAGAGUGAAAAAGCCUGCGCUUCCCUGUAGCAGGCCAGUCGGGGGUACAGAUGGAACCCCAUAAGCCCACGCUUCCCUGUAGCAGGCCAGUUGGGGGUACAGAUGGAACCCCAUAAGCCUGUGCUUCCCUGUAGUAGGCCAGUCGGGGGUACAGAUGGAACCCCAUAAGCCCGCGCUUCCCUGUAGCAGGCCAGUCGGGAGUACAGAUGGAACCCCAUAAGCCCACGCUUCCCUGUAGUAGGCCAGUCGGGGGUACAGAUGGAACCCCAUAAGCCCGCGCUUCCCUGUAGCAGGCCAGUCGGGGGUACAGAUGGAACCCCAUAAGCCCGCGCUUCCCUGUAGCAGGCCAGUCGGGGGUACAGAUGGAACCCCAUAAGCCCGCGCUUCCCUGUAGCAGGCCAGUCAGUGGUACAGAUGAAACCCCAUAAGCUCGCGCUUCCCUGUAGCAGGCCAGUCGGGAGUACAGAUGGAACCCCAUAAGCCCGCGCUUCCCUGUAGCAGGCCAGUCGGGGGUACAGAUGAAACCCCAUAAGCCUGCGCUUCCCUGUAGCAGGCCAGUCGGGGGUACAGAUGGAACUCCAUAAGCCCGCGCUUCCCUGUAGCAGGCCAGUCGGGGGUACAGAUGGAACCCCAUAAGCCUGUGCUUCCCUGUAGCAGGCCAGUCGGGGGUACAGAUGGAACCCCAUAAGCCCGCGCUUCCCUGUAGCAGGCCAGUCGGGGGUACAGAUGGAACCCCAUAAGCCCGCGCUUCCCUGUAGCAGGCCAGUCGGGGGAACAGAUGGAACCCCAUAAGCCCGCGCUUCCCUGUAGCAGGCCAGUCGGGGUACAGAUGGAACCCCAUAAGCCCGCUCUUCCCUGUAGCAGGCCAGUCGGGGGUACAGAUGGAACCCCAUAAGCCCGCGCUUCCCUGUAGCAGGCCAGUCGGGGGUACAGAUGGAACCCCCAUAAGCCCGCGCUUCCCUGUAGCAGGCCAGUCGGGGGUACAGAUGGAACUCCAUAAGCCCGCGCUUCCCUGUAGCAGGCCAGUCGGGGGUACAGAUGGAACUCCAUAAGCCCGCGCUUCCCUGUAGCAGGCCAGUCGGGGGUACAGAUGAAACCCCAUAAGCCCGCGCUUCCCUGUAGCAGGCCAGUCGGGGGUACAGAUGAAACCCCAUAAGCCCGUGCUUCCCUGUAGCAGGCCAGUCGGGGGUACAGAUGAAACCCCAUAAGCCCGCGCUUCCCUGUAGCAGGCCAGUCGGGGGUACAGAUGGAACCCCAUAAGCCCGCGCUUCCCUGUAGCAGGCCAGUCGGGGGUACAGAUGGAACCCCAUAAGCCCGCGCUUCCCUGUAGCAGGCCAGUCGGGGGUACAGAUGGAACCCCAUAAGCCCGCGCUUCCCUGUAGCAGGCCAGUCGGGGGUACAGAUGGAACCCCAUAAGCCCGCGCUUCCCUGUAGCAGGCCAGUCGGGGGUACAGAUGGAACCCCAUAAGCCCGCGCUUCCCUGUAGCAGGCCAGUCGGGGGUACUGCCCCAUAUUUAGAGGAAAGCAAGGGUUCCAGUUAUGUAUGAGCGGAACUUGGGAAAGCUAUGCAGCUGCAAUACCAUGUUUAAAGGCCAAGUUAUUCUCUGUGUUGUUUAGUUUUGCACCACCGUGAGUUAGAAGGUGACCCUUGCAGCCUUUCCCAUGUAAGAGCCAUGGAGAUUUCUCACAGUGCCAGCCUGUAGUUAUAUCCAGGCUCUGUGUGCAUUGUUAGUAACAUCAGGGGAUCGUCUCUCAGUGUUAAUAAGCCAAACCUUACAUUGCUUUAUUAAGUACAGUUCCAUUUCCCAUGUGGUCUGUGAGGCCACUGUGCCCUGAGUGAGUGGCCAGUAGAGCAGUCUCCCCUGCCACUGUGUUAUGGGACAGCACAUCUCUCUCUGUUAGGGCUGAAACUUGUUUAUGUGCAUUUUAUUUACCUGUCAAUUCGUCUAUUCAAGGAAAAGCCCUUAAACAUUGGAUCACUGCUUGGGUAUGAGAUGCAUGGGAAGCACGCAGUAAAGCCCUAUGUUCUGUGCCGCUGAACUAGGUACGGUCUAACCCAUUCCCUGCUAUGUGCCAGUCCCUGCAGACCGGGCACCCUAAUAGGCAAGGUAUGGUCUGACCCGCACCCUAAUAGGCAAGGUAAGGUCUGACCCGUGCCCUGUUAUGUACCAGUCCCUACAGACUGCAGGCCGGCACCCUAGUAGGCAAGGUAUGGUCUGACCCGCACCCUAAUAGGUAAGGUCUAACCCGUGCCCUGUUAUGUACCAGUCCCUGCAGACUGCAGGCCGGCACCCUAAUAGGCAAGGUAUGGUCUGACCCGCACCCUAAUAGGUAAGGUUUGACCCGCACCCUAAUAGGUAAGGUCUAACCCGUGCCCUGUUAUGUACCAGUCCCUGCAGGCCGGCACCCUAAUAGGUAAGGUAUGGUCUGACCCGCACCCUAAUAGGUAAGGUCUAACCCGUGCCCUGCUAUGUACCAGUCCCUACAGACUGCAGGCCGGGCACCCUAAUAGGCAAGAUAUGGUCUGACCCGCACCCUAAUAGGUAAGGUCUAACCCGUGCCCUGUUAUGUGCCAGUCCCUAUAGACUUCAGGCCGGGCACCCUAAUAGGUAUGGUCUGACCCGUGCCCUGUUAUGUGCCAGUCGCUACAGACUGCAGGCCGGCACCCUAAUAGGUAAGGUCUGACCUGUGCCCUGUUAUGUGCCAGUCCCUACCAACUGCAGGCCGGGCACCCUAAUAGGUAAGGUCUAACCCGUGCCCUGUUAUGUGCCAGUCCCUACCAGCUGCAGGCCGGGCACCCCACACCCAACACGGGCUGCGUUGUGCCGACAUGGCAAAGCACCGGUUUGCGCCAACAAGUCUCCCAGGUAUGUAUGAUACGUGGCCCUUUCCUGCUGCAUAGUGCAGCCCCUGCUAACUCACCUGAGUGGCCUUUUCUACUAAUAUCACAGAUUUUCACCUUUCUAGUAUGAUGUAGAGACAAUUUGCAAUUGGUCUUCAUUUUGUUAUGAUUUGCUGGGUUUGAAUUAUUUGGCUUUUUGUUCAGCAGGAAUGUUCUUAAAGGAACGCUGUCAUCCAAAUAAAAGUAUUAUUGGUGCUCGAAGACCCGG